rnacentral:rRNA from 1 species
UGGGGAAUAUUGGACAAUGGGCGAAAGCCUGAUCCAGCCAUGCCGCGUGUGUGAAGAAGGCCUUUUGGUUGUAAAGCACUUUAAGCGAGGAGGAGGCUACUAGUACUAAUACUACUGGAUAGUGGACGUUACUCGCAGAAUAAGCACCGGCUAACUCUGUUCCAGCAGCCGCGGUAAUACAGAGGGUGCGAGCGUUAAUCGGAUUUACUGGGCGUAAAGCGUGCGUAGGCGGCUGAUUAAGUCGGAUGUGAAAUCCCUGAGCUUAACUUAGGAAUUGCAUUAGAUACUGGUCAGCUAGAGUAUGGGAGAGGAUGGUAGAAUUCCAGGUGUAGCGGUGAAAUGCGUAGAGAUCUGGAGGAAUACCGAUGGCGAAGGCAGCCAUCUGGCCUAAUACUGACGCUGAGGUAAGAAAGCAUGGGGAGCAAACAGG